GAUGAACGCUGGCGGCGUGCCUAAUACAUGCAAGUCGAGCGAACGGACGAGAAGCUUGCUUCUCUGAUGUUAGCGGCGGACGGGUGAGUAACACGUGGAUAACCUACCUAUAAGACUGGGAUAACUUCGGGAAACCGGAGCUAAUACCGGAUAAUAUUUUGAACCGCAUGGUUCAAAAGUGAAAGACGGUCUUGCUGUCACUUAUAGAUGGAUCCGCGCUGCAUUAGCUAGUUGGUAAGGUAACGGCUUACCAAGGCAACGAUGCAUAGCCGACCUGAGAGGGUGAUCGGCCACACUGGAGCGGAGACACGGUCCAGACUCCUACGGGAGGCAGCAGUAGGGAAUCUGCCGCAAAGGGCGAAAGCCUGACGGAGCAACGCCGCGUGAGUGAUGAAGGUCUUCGGAUCGUAAAACUCUGUUAUUAGGGAAGAACAUAUGUGUAAGUAACUGUGCACAUCUUGACGGUACCUAAUCAGAAAGCCACGGCUAACUACGUG
rnacentral:rRNA from 1 species